GCACUCUUUUCAGUUGUGCAUGUUCUAAAAUCAUAAAGACAAAAAUAAGAUUAGCUCAGCCUAGGCGCAAGCAUGACAGGCAAAAUCGUGAAGCUUUCCAUAAUUCU